GGGCUAGUGGCGCAGUUGGUAGCGCGUUCGCUUUGCAUGUGAAAGGUCAUCGGUUCAAAUCCGGUCUAGUCCA
rfam:Lachancea dasiensis CBS 10888 genome assembly, chromosome: G